rnacentral:lncRNA from 1 species
UUGCUUUCUGGUAAGCAAUUAUAUCUACAUAAAUUAGCUUCUGCUCCUGUAUCUAUCAUAGGCGUAUAAUAUCUACUGUAAUAUCCUUCUACUACUAUCUUCAUUAAUACAUGUAUCUUCAUUUCAUGUUAAGGCUCUUUUUAAGAAUAACUUUUCUUGGUUAUAUGUUAAGGUUAAUUGUGUAUGUUCUAUAUUAUAUGGUUUUACUUGUUCUAACCAUUUUAUUCCUAAUAUUAUAUCUGCUUUUUGCAUUUCUUCCUUUACUUCGAAUUCUAUUUUUAUUUUUCUAACUCCUAAUAUUAUUUCUUUUUCUGCUAUAUUUUUAUUAUUUAUUAAACUUCUUGGUAAAUCUGGGCAUAUAUUAUUAUCGGUUUUUAUUUCUUCAUUUUUUACUAGAUAUUUUGCUAUAUGAUUUUCUUCUUGUCCUGUAUUCAAAAGUAUUAGAUAUUCUUUUUCAUUUAUUUUUGCUGUUAUGUAAUAUUGG